CUUUACUGACGCUAAAGCUCGAAGGUGCGGGUAUCGAACAGGAUUAGAUACCCUGGUAGUCCGCACGGUAAACGAUGGAUGCCCGCUGUUUGCGAUAUACUGUGAGCGGCCAAGCGAAAGCGUUAAGCAUCCCACCUGGGGAGUACGCCGGCAACGGUGAAACUCAAAGGAAUUGACGGGGGCCCGCACAAGCGGAGGAACAUGUGGUUUAAUUCGAUGAUACGCGAGGAACCUUACCCGGGCUUGAACUGCAGCAGAACGAUUGAGAGAUCAUGAGGUCCUUCGGGACUGCUGUGGAGGUGCUGCAUGGUUGUCGUCAGCUCGUGCCGUGAGGUGUCGGCUUAAGUGCCAUAACGAGCGCAACCCCUCUCUUCAGUUGCCAUCAGGUCGAGCUGGGCACUCUGGAGACACUGCCACCGUAAGGUGUGAGGAAGGUGGGGAUGACGUCAAAUCAGCACGGCCCUUACGUCCGGGGCUACACACGUGUUACAAUGGGUGGUACAGAGCGUCGGCGGCCUGCAAAGUCCGUCCAAUCGCAAAAUCCAUCCUCAGUUCGGACUGGGGUCUGCAACCCGACCCCACGAAGCUGGAUUCGCUAGUA
rnacentral:rRNA from 1 species